UACGGGGGGGAGCAAGCGUUGUUCGGAUUUACUGGGCGUAAAGGGCGCGUAGGCGGCGUGACAAGUCACUUGUGAAAUCUCCGGGGCUUAACUCGGAACGGUCAAGUGAUACUGUCGUGCUAGAGUACAGAAGGGGCAACUGGAAUUCUCGGUGUAGCGGUGAAAUGCGUAGAUAUCGAGAGGAACACCUGCGGCGAAGGCGGGUUGCUGGGCUGAUACUGACGCUGAGGCGCGAAAGCUAGGGGAGCGAACGGG
rnacentral:rRNA from 1 species